GCGAACGGGUGAGUAAAGCUUAGGAAUCUGCCUAUUAAUGGGGGACAACAAUUCGAAAGGAUUGCUAAUACCGCAUACGCCCUACGGGGGAAAGCAGGGGACUCGUAAGAGCCUUGCGUUAAUAGAUGAGCCUAAGUCGGAUUAGCUAGUUGGUGGGGUAAAGGCCUACCAAGGCGACGAUCUGUAGCGGGUCUGAGAGGAUGAUCCGCCACACUGGGACUGAGACACGGCCCAGACUCCUACGGGAGGCAGCAGUGGGGAAUAUUGGACAAUGGGGGGAACCCUGAUCCAGCCAUGCCGCGUGUGUGAAGAAGGUCGUAAGACUGUAAAGCACUUUAAGCGAGGAGGAGGGUAACUAUGCUAAUACCAUGGUUUAUCGGACGCUACUCGCAGAAUAAGCACCGGCUAACUCUGUGCCAGCAGCCGCGGUAAUACAGAGGGUGCGAGCGUUAAUCGGAAUUACUGGGCGUAAAGCGCGCGUAGGUGGCAAAUUAAGUCGGAUGUGAAAUCCCCGAGCUCAACUUGGGAAUUGCAUCCGAUACUGGUUAGCUAGAGUAUGAGAGAGGAAGGUAGAAUUCCAGGUGUAGCGGUGAAAUGCGUAGAGAUCUGGAGGAAUACCGAUGGCGA
rnacentral:rRNA from 1 species